UACGUAGGGUGCAAGCGUUGUCCGGAAUUAUUGGGCGUAAAGAGCUUGUAAGCGGUUUGUCGCGUCUGCUGUGAAAUUUCGGGGCUCAACCCCGAACUUGCAGUGGGUACGGGCAGACUAGAGUGUGGUAGGGGAGACUGGAAUUCCUGGUGUAGCGGUGGAAUGCGCAGAUAUCAGGAGGAACACCGGUGGCGAAGGCGGGUCUCUGGGCAGUAACUGACGCUGAGGAGCGAAAGCGUGGGGAGCGAACAGG
rnacentral:rRNA from 1 species